CGUUUUAAUGUUUUUCUUAUUCUCUUACUCUCUCUCUUUUUUAAUGAGUGAGGAUCUAGUUUAGGGUUGUAUGAAUGUGUAAUCUUUCUCUUGUUCUCUCACUUCCUCUGUGUGUAUUUGUGUGUACCCCCAGCACCAGAAAAAAGUACUGUCACCAAAACAGUGAGACAUGCCAAAUCUUCAGCUGUCUAAACAGCUGCACCUAAUAAUCUCAUUCCAUGCUCUAUCAGAAGUUAAAGAAACUCAUAUUUCUUACAAAUGGAAUUUUUUUUAAACAUUUUUAUUAUUAAUAGUUUCAAAUAUUCAAAAUGUCUUUCUACAAAAAA